UGAUUAUAGUUAACGGCCCGAG
rnacentral:miRNA from 1 species